UUCAUCGAAUAUUUCAGAUUGUGCAAAGAUAAAAUCAACAUUGUAUUGUAUCAAACAGGGAACAAACAGAAUAGGUUGUUGCCACCACCAUAGGCAGCAUACGGCUGACACAUAAAUAUAUUUGGUAUUAUAUAUGAUGCAAAACUAAUCUCGAGCACUGAUUUACUCAUUGACACAAAACUGACUAAAAGAUCAGUCCUAGCUUUUUGUUCAUUUACAGACUGAAGUCUAGCAAUCUCAAUUCCAUAGCUAAGCGAUGAUGCACUUGCGACCGAGCAAGUGAGCAAAACCCCUCAAGUUGUGACUAUCAUCGCCGACAUGUAUGCACCAUACACACACCCCUUCCACUUGUCUCACUCAUCCAUGUCUCCGGGUUCACUCUUAGCUUAUCAUAACUCAGAUCCCAUCUGUUAUUGUGCACAACUUCUAACUUUGGUGACCUUCUUUGUCGAGGUUACUAUCAUCAACCUUUUCUUCCUCUCAUCAAUGGAUCGCGUAAUGGUACGACUAUAAAUUCAGGGCAAACAUCCCAUCAGCAAAAUUAAAGCUAUCCAGGUUUACCAUUGUAGAAUCCAAAUAGUCAGGACAAAUUGCAGGAUUGCCCACAGCUGGUGUUUAUCAUGCUCUUUUCUUUGUGUAGAACACCUAGGUGAAAAUAAACAGGUGUAGAAACUCGAGAAUACAUACGCAAACGACAUACCUUUUUCUUCUAAUUGCAGAUGCACAAAUCGGAAGGAAAUGUUGAAAACAAAUCUAUUCAACCUAUUGUAAAGUCACUAUAUAAGUACAGAAGAACAUAUGCCUUGACAGGAAAUUGCACUUGUAUACUAUUAUUCAAGAAAUUGUCACAUAGAGAAACUAAUCAGACCAUUAGGUAGUUAAUUUUGAGUGAAAAAAACACAGAUCUCAUCAUGAUAUGAUCGUGGCAUGAAGCACUCAACGGUUUCUCCUGAACAUGCUUGUUGUGGCUAACUCAUCUAAAAGUGGAAUAUGAGUAACACUUUGUAGGCACAAACUUAUUGUGGUAACUAAAUUGGUUUAUCUUCCUCUCUCUUGUGUCGUCAACUAACAAUAAUCAUAACCUAGUUAGACAUUUAUAGAACAAGGAAAAUACAAAAGAGAUGGAUUAAUUUCCGAUCAAUGGGAUGUAUGCUCUUGAUAUAAUUGGAAAAAAAAUGGAUCUCAGAUCGAUAAGAUGUAUGCUCUUAGAAUUAUUGAAACCACCAUGUGCACUUUGGUAAUAAAUCUGGGCUCUAUGCAAACAACAAAAUUUCUCCUAUUAUUUUGUUGAUAUAAAUCUAGGCUCUGUGUGCAUCAUUGUGAUGCAAAGGCCAGUGACUCGCCUCACUUUUUUUAAAUAACAUGAUUGCUCCUAUUUUCAGUAGGCAACAUCUGUGCUGCUACAUAACUAAGUGAACUUCUAUGAAAAAAUAGUGGAGGGCCGCUCACCGGACGACACACCUAUCUGUGCAUCGCUCCACUGCUUCAAGACAUAAUAUGACUUUUAGACUAAAUGGACAUGCAACUUUGUUUUCAUCAAGGAACUGAAUGAUGUCAAUUAUAGACCGCAAGUUUCUCAAGUUCAAGAACAACCAACACCAAGGGAGUUCAGCAAAGAAUCUAUGACAUUACCAAAAGAUCAGACCUAGCUUUUUCAAGCAGAACAAAUACGAAUUUACAGUAAAAAGGUUCAGUACAGGACCAUAUUCUUAACAUGCAAUGAAUGUUUCUUGCCUAUUUCAAUUCUUUUGAUCUAGUUUAUCUUUGUAAAGAGCAUGUCUUCCUCUUUUGGCAUACUUGAGAUGGAUAUUGUGAUGCAACAAAAGGAGCAUCACAAAUAUUUCUACCAAAAUAUGAAUCUUUCAGGCUCGAAUCAAACAGGGAGCAAACAGGAUUUCUUCGUGAACUUACCUGUUCAUGGAGUUGAAUCAAAAAGAGAGAAAACAGAGAAUCAAACAGAAGUGUAGCAUCUCAAAUAUUUACAAUCACUGAAAACUAUCUACCCAAUUAUGAAUGGUUCAUACCAGACCAAGGAGAACUGUACUUUUUAUGACUGUAGAUGAAAAUUUUACAGAAUAAUUUGGGAAAAGCUGGCACAUACCUCAGGUGUAGCACGUUCGGACAGCGGAUGUUGUUCCGCCUCAGGUCAGGUGUAGCAGGCUCGGACGGCGGAGGUUCUUCCGGCGAAUUCUGCGCGAUAUUGGACGGUUCUUCGAAAGUUGUGAUGCGAGGUGAUUUACUGGGGAUUUCCGUCAAGGGCUCGGUCUUAUGGCAUCCAAGUCCCUGUGGAGUUCGGGCUGGGCACUCCGUCUUGAAGAAGUUGUCCCGCACGAACACGGACACCGACUUCGAUGCAAAUUGGAGAUAGACGGCAGCAGGAGGUAGGAGGUAGAGGAGGCUGUGGUGGCGCCGGAGAAGAUUGGGGGCGGACGGGGAGGGGGAGAGCAACAGGGCGGCGGCAAGUCGGUGAGGAAGACCAGCCGCGCGUGGCGGCGGCGGCGCCGCCGGUG
rnacentral:lncRNA from 1 species